UCUUCCUAAAUGAUCUGAUAGGUGGCCAACCCACAACCUGCGCCUUGGUAGCAGGUGCACUACUGUUGUUGUUUGCAGAAGCAUUAUGAUUUGGUCUUGUAUCAUUUGUUCCAUGAGGCCUCUCCUGUGGUAACUUUGGUGCACCUACUUCUUUCACUUUAGCUGCUUGAGGCCCAAAGUUUUCAAGGGAAGAACCAGGUUUCAAUCCCAAGUUUGAAGAGGGCCUAGGUGACGGCAUCACAUUAACCUCUGAAUUUGACAUAUAUUUACCCUUUGAGAAUCCAUCCAUAGCAUCAGAGAACCCUCUUUU
rnacentral:misc_RNA from 1 species